AUGCUGCCACGACCCUGUACGAGCUCUGUAAGCUGCUCAUCCUCCAUUGAUGCCCUCUGCAAGCUGCUCAUCCUCCCGGAGCUGACCGAAGGAGGAAGGAGGAAGAAGAUGACGAUACCUGUUGGUGUUCAGAGUAAUAUUGUGCAUUUCCUUUGGGCCGACCUCGGGAACCCGACGGCGCUGUGGACCAUGCUGACCCUCGCCUUCUCUCUCGGUCUCUCCGACGACGGGGACUACAAGGGGAGCACGCUCGUGUUGGACGGCCGCGUCGAUUUCGGUGGCGGCGGCGCGGCGGAGCGCGACGUGGUGGGCGGCACGGGGAGGUUCCGGCGGGCGAGGGGGUACAGCCUGACGACCAAGUUUGGCAACCCCACGCCCAGCACCGGCGUCUUCGAGAUGGACACGUCUACGUCACUGCCAUGGCCUAGAGCUAGCUUAAUUAGUUUAGGUCUGUUUGAUUCAGCUUAAAAUUAUUAUA
rnacentral:lncRNA from 1 species